CGGAGCGGCUCACCUGCCCCACCGCGGGGGUCGUCUCCUGCUUACUGUAGCGAUUCUCGCUGUGGAUCCCGUCGAUGCGUCCGUCGGGCAGGACCUGGAUGUGGAAACCGAUGCCCACGUUGCAGUAGAGACGCCGCAAGCGUUUGAUGCCCAGGAGCUGGUCUAUUUGAUCUCUGUGUGCCUGGGCUGUUUGCUGUUGUGAGCGUCUUGCCAUGAUCAAAACCUUAUUAUCUCGAGUGAUGUCGCAGUGUUAUAUAUUGGAAAAGGGCAGUGGAGUAUAGCAGCAGGCAGCAACAAUGCUGGGAAAACAACAAAGGCACCAAUAACCUCUCUCCAGUGUAUUUGGACUGAAUCAGUGGGAGGACUGGGUGUCAUUUUGCUUGUGAUGGGUAUGGACUUUUUCAACAGCUGCCCCCUCUGCUUCUUGUACAUCUCUGUAUAAAGCAGAGGUCAGAGAAGACAUGACUACAUCCACCUGUGGAGCUUCGGGGGUUUAGAUGUCGCAGUUCAUGCUUCCAGCUUGUGACUCUGCUGCUCAUAUACACCCACUGCUGCAGAGAUGGGCACCAAGGAGCUCCAACUGGAAGAUCAAAUCACAGACAUUUGUUUUUCUGUGAACUACAUUCAACGUCUUAGCAGCCUUUUUCUCAGCUGCUGAGCUUUAUUAGUUUAUUGCUUUUGAGCUGCAACAUUGCUGUUCCUGCAACAUCAGCUCAAAGGUGUGAGGUGGUGGUGUGGUGAUAGUGACCCUCUGGGAGACCCGAGGCCAUUCGCCAAGCAACCUGAUGUGGUCAUCACAGACUAUUUCAUUGUUUUGCUGGUCCUUGUCAGUGACUGACAUAUGAACAGCUCUCAGAUUAUGGCACACAUACUUUUGCUGACAUAUUGCUUGACACUCUGCCAAACAAAACUGGUAAAAGGAAACAUAAUAGAAAAUGAGUUUUGAGAAUCAGGAUGAGGAAAAUUCCCUGCCAGAUUGUCACUCUCAAGAGAUCUACAAACUAUUGGCCUGUCUUCCAGCUUGCUGUAAUCACAUCUGAAUACCAGGGACAAGUCCUUCCGCAGCUUUGAAAAGCAUCAGGAAUACCUGACGCUGUCCAGUGGGUGACACCUUUGUUGUCAGCGCAGCCAGAAGGAUGCGAUGCUUUGGGACGUCUGGCCCUGUGUCACACCAAGGAUCCAAGGAGCAGUGACAUCUGUGGGGCCACUGCACUCUCCUCAGUGGCUUUCAGUCUUGAUCCUUGCAGCUGGGUUUGGCAGCGCUGUUGAUCAAUCUUUUAAAUGUCCCAGUGUAAUUACCAAUGCUCUUUUCAACAGUUUUCCACUCUCCCUUCUAGACUCUCACCUAAAGCCCUCAGUUUUCCUGUCUCCCUCUUCAAUAAAAUAAACUUUUGAGA